GGUCAAGCGAAUAAGCGCACACGGUGGAUGCCUAGGCGGUCAGAGGCGAUGAAGGACGUGGUAGCCUGCGAAAAGUGUCGGGGAGCUGGCAACAAGCUUUGAUCCGGCAAUAUCCGAAUGGGGAAACCCACUGCUUCGGCAGUAUCUUGCAGUGAAUUCAUAGCUGCUUGAAGCGAACCCGGUGAACUGAAAUAUCUAAGUAACCGGAGGAAAAGAAAUCAACCGAGAUUCCCUGAGUAGUGACGAGCGAACGGGGAACAGCCCUUAAGCUGGAAUGGCUUUAGAAAAACAAUCUGGAAAGAUUGGCCAUAGAAGGUGAUAGCCCUGUAUUUAAAAGGGCCACUCCAGUGAAGACGAGUAGGGCGGGGCACGUGAAACCCUGUCUGAAUAUGGGGGGACCAUCCUCCAAGGCUAAAUACUCCUGACCGACCGAUAGUGAACCAGUACCGUGAGGGAAAGGCGAAAAGAACCCCGGAGAGGGGAGUGAAAUAGAUCCUGAAACCGUGUGCGUACAAGCAGUAGGAGCUCGCAAGAGUGACUGCGUACCUUUUGUAUAAUGGGUCAGCGACUUACUGUUCGUGGCAAGCUUAACCGUAUAGGGGAGGCGAAGGGAAACCGAGUCUGAUAAGGGCGCAUAGUCGCGGGCAGUAGACCCGAAACCGGGUGAUCUAGUCAUGGCCAGGGUGAAGGUGCCGUAACAGGUACUGGAGGCCCGAACCCACGUCUGUUGCAAAAGACGGGGAUGAGCUGUGAUUAGGAGUGAAAAGCUAAUCGAACCCGGAGAUAGCUGGUUCUCCUCGAAAGCUAUUUAGGUAGCGCCUCGGACGAAUACUACUGGGGGUAGAGCACUGUUAUGGCUAGGGGGUCAUCGCGACUUACCAAACCAUUGCAAACUCCGAAUACCAGUACGUACUAUCCGGGAGACACACGGCGGGUGCUAACGUCCGUCGUGAAAAGGGAAACAACCCAGACCCACAGCUAAGGUCCCAAAUUCACUGCUAAGUGGAAAACGAUGUGGAAAGGCAUAGACAGCCAGGAGGUUGGCUUAGAAGCAGCCACCCUUUAAAGAAAGCGUAAUAGCUCACUGGUCGAGUCGGUCUGCGCGGAAGAUUUAACGGGGCUAAGCAGUGAACCGAAGCUUGGGGUGCGUAAAACUUCGGUUUUAUGCGCGGUAGAGGAGCGUUCCGUAAGCCUGCGAAGGUGGAUUGAGAAGUCUGCUGGAGGUAUCGGAAGUGCGAAUGCUGACAUGAGUAACGAUAAUGCGGGUGAAAAGCCCGCACGCCGAAAGCCCAAGGUUUCCUUGCGCAACGUUAAUCGACGCAGGGUUAGUCGGUCCCUAAGGCGAGGGCGAAAGCCGUAGUCGAUGGGAAGCAGGUUAAUAUUCCUGCACCUCGCGUGAGUGCGAUGGAGGGACGGAGAAGGUUAGGUGUACCGGGCGUUGGUUGUCCCGGGGAAAGGCGGUAGGUUUGGAUCUUUGGCAAAUCCGGGAUCCUUUAAGACCGAGCACCGAGACGAGCCUUUAUGGCGAAGUCACUGAUACCACGCUUCCAGGAAAAGCUCCUAAGCUUCAGCUCACGAAGACCGUACCGUAAACCGACACAGGUGGGUAGGAUGAGAAUUCUCAGGCGCUUGAGAGAACUCGGGUGAAGGAACUAGGCAACAUGGCACCGUAACUUCGGGAGAAGGUGCACCCUUUUUGGUGGCUCAUGCGAGCUAUAGCUGAAGAGGGUCGCAGAAACCAGGCCGCUGCGACUGUUUAUCAAAAACACAGCACUCUGCAAACACGAAAGUGGACGUAUAGGGUGUGACGCCUGCCCGGUGCUGGAAGGUUAAUUGAUGGGGUCAGCCGCAAGGCGAAGCUCUUGAUCGAAGCCCCAGUAAACGGCGGCCGUAACUAUAACGGUCCUAAGGUAGCGAAAUUCCUUGUCGGGUAAGUUCCGACCUGCACGAAUGGCGUAACGACAGCGGCGCUGUCUCCACCCGAGACUCAGUGAAAUUGAAAUCGCUGUGAAGAUGCAGCGUUCCCGUGGCAAGACGGAAAGACCCCGUGAACCUUUACUAUAGCUUUACACUGAACGUUGAGUUCGUCUGUGUAGGAUAGGUGGGAGGCUAUGAAACUGUGGCGCUAGCUGCAGUGGAGCCAACCUUGAAAUACCACCCUGUCGUGCUUGACGUUCUAACCUAGAUCCGUUAUCCGGAUCAGGGACCGUGUAUGGUGGGUAGUUUGACUGGGGCGGUCUCCUCCUAAAGAGUAACGGAGGAGCACGAAGGUACGCUCAGCGCGGUCGGACAUCGCGCA
rnacentral:rRNA from 1 species